CCUACGGGUGGCAGCAGUGGGGAAUAUUGGACAAUGGGGGAAACCCUGAUGCAGCGACGCCGCGUGAGUGAAGACGUAACUCGGUAUGUUAAGCUCCUUCUGUAGGGAAGUAAAUCACGGUACCUGUGUAAGAUGCCCUGUCCAAUUACGUGCCAGCAGCCGCGGUAAUACGGAGGGGGCAGGCGUUAUCCGGAUGUACUGGGUGUAAAGGGAGCGUAGUCGGUUUGCCAAGUCUGGAGUGAAAUGCCGCAGCUUAAACGCGGAAUUGCUGGGGAAACUGGCGAGCUAGAGUGCGGGAGGGGUAGGCGGAAUUCGUAGUGUAGCGGUGAAAUGCGUAGAUAUUAGGAAGAACCCCGAUGGCGAAGGCAGCUUACUGGACCGGAACUGACGUUGAGGCUCGAAAGCGUGGGGAGCGAACAGGAUUAGAUACCCUUGUAGUC
rnacentral:rRNA from 1 species